rnacentral:lncRNA from 1 species
GUAAAGUUUCAUCAAUUUUGGAGCAUUUUGAAAUUUUUGAAAUUUUUGCUAUUUCCAUGGUAACGAGAAACAUUAGCUAAAUUCCGAAGACAGAUAAGGCAUUGACAUAUGCCAUGGUACAUAUCCAUAAAGUUUCAGUAGGUUUCAUUCAAAAUUCUAAAAGAAAAUACAGCUUUUAUGUUUUUUCCCAUAGGGCCAAUGUUAAACAUUUCUCCUGUUUCCAUGGCAAUGACAGCCAUUUUGGAAUUUCUAAGUAUCGUUGUACCCUCGGUGCCC